UCUAAAAGUGACUGAUGGGACCCUGGUGAGCCUGUGUCAAGACAAGGGUCUCCUGCCCUCGGGAAGGGCUCCCAGAAGAAGGACAUGCUUGAGGAACUAGCUUGUAGAGUCCCAGCCUGCAGGUGAAGGCAUGGCUUCCAGCUGUAUCAUCGAGGAUAUGCCAUUCACCCUCUCAGAUCCCAGCAGGAAAAAACGCUUCAGGGACCAGAGAUUGAGCUUGCACUCAGAAGAAAACCUCGUGGAAACUUGAUUCUGCUUCUGUAUCAGUUCUCAAAGCUUGCCAGUGGAUGUCCUGGGGAAGGCAGACACGUUUCUCCUAGUGAUGACAAGUGGCAUUAAAAUGAUUUGUCACCAAAUUCCAAGUUUACUGAGUGCCUGUGAUGGGCCAUGGUCACUGCUAGAGUUACAGCCAUGAACAAGACCCAAAUGCCCUCUGCAUCAUAAGGGCACAUAUACUCCUGUGCAUUCAGAUAUGAAGCAUAUAAUGUCACGAGUCAUACUAGAAUUUGGGUAAGUUACACUUCAAACGUUAGUGAAAGUUCGCCAUGAGCCUCUGCUGUGUCCUCAGCUACAGCGUUAGGGGAGUUUUCACCACUGAUGAGCCCAUCCUCCUGGCUGAGUAGUCAAAUCUUGUCCAAAUGUAGUCAGGAUAGGUG